AGUCUCUAAGCAAUGGAUGUCUUGGCUCCUCACACGAUGAAGAACGUGGCAUAAUGUGUUAAGUAACCGGAGUUGCAAACAUCAUGACAGGUUAAUCUUUGAAUGCAAAUUGCGCUAAACUCGAUCUCGGUCGAGAAGCAUGGGUGUGACAGUACUAC
rnacentral:rRNA from 1 species